rnacentral:rRNA from 1 species
GACGAACGCUGGCGGCGUGCCUAAUACAUGCAAGUAGAACGCUGAAGGAGGAGCUUGCUUCUCUGGAUGAGUUGCGAACGGGUGAGUAACGCGUAGGUAACCUGCCUGGUAGCGGGGGAUAACUAUUGGAAACGAUAGCUAAUACCGCAUAAUAGCAGUUAUUGCAUGAUAACUGUUUGAAAGGUGCAAUUGCACCACUACCAGAUGGACCUGCGUUGUAUUAGCUAGUUGGUGGGGUAACGGCUCACCAGGGCGACGAUACAUAGCCGACCUGAGAGGGUGAUCGGCCACACUGGGACUGAGACACGGCCCAGACUCCUACGGGAGGCAGCAGUAGGGAAUCUUCGGCAAUGGACGGAAGUCUGACCGAGCAACGCCGCGUGAGUGAAGAAGGUUUUCGGAUCGUAAAGCUCUGUUGUAAGAGAAGAACGAGUGUGAGAGUGGAAAGUUCACACUGUGACGGUAUCUUACCAGAAAGGGACGGCUAACUACGUG